rnacentral:rRNA from 1 species
UGGGGAAUAUUGGACAAUGGGCGAAAGCCUGAUCCAGCCAUGCCGCGUGAGUGAUGAAGGCCUUAGGAUUGUAAAGCUCUUUCACCGGAGAAGAUAAUGACGGUAUCCGGAGAAGAAGCCCCGGCUAACUUCGUGCCAGCAGCCGCGGUAAUACGAAGGGGGCUAGCGUUGUUCGGAAUUACUGGGCGUAAAGCGCACGUAGGCGGAUAUUUAAGUCAGGGGUGAAAUCCCAGAGCUCAACUCUGGAACUGCCUUUGAUACUGGGUAUCUAGAGUAUGGAAGAGGUGAGUGGAAUUCCGAGUGUAGAGGUGAAAUUCGUAGAUAUUCGGAGGAACACCAGUGGCGAAGGCGGCUCACUGGUCCAUUACUGACGCUGAGGUGCGAAAGCGUGGGGAGCAAACAGGAUUAGAUACCCUCGUAGUCCCUGAGCGGGCUGGCAAGGCGCAU